rnacentral:rRNA from 1 species
UAGGGAAUCUUCCGCAAUGGACGCAGGUCUGACGGAGCAACGCCGCGUGAGUGAAGAAGGAUUUCGGUUCGUAAAACUCUGUUGUUAGAGAAGAACAGCGCAUAGAGUAACUGUUAUGCGUGUGACGGUAUCUAACCAGAAAGCCACGGCUAACUACGUGCCAGCAGCCGCGGUAAUACGUAGGUGGCAAGCGUUGUCCGGAUUUAUUGGGCGUAAAGCGAGCGCAGGCGGUCAAUUAAGUCUGAUGUGAAAGCCCCCGGCUCAACCGGGGAGGGUCAUUGGAAACUGGUUGACUGGAGUGCAGAAGAGGGGAGUAGAAUUCCAGGUGUAGCGGUGAAAUGCGUUGAUAUAUGGAGGAACACCAGUGACGAAGGCGACUCUCUGGUCUGUAACUGACGCUGAGGCUCGAAAGCGUGGGUAGCAAACAGG